UAACGUCGCAAGACCAAAGAGGGGGACCUUCGGGCCUCUUGCCAUCAGAUGUGCCCAGAUGGGAUUAGCUAGUAGGUGGGGUAACGGCUCACCUAGGCGACGAUCCCUAGCUGGUCUGAGAGGAUGACCAGCCACACUGGAACUGAGACACGGUCCAGACUCCUACGGGAGGCAGCAGUGGGGAAUAUUGCACAAUGGGCGCAAGCCUGAUGCAGCCAUGCCGCGUGUAUGAAGAAGGCCUUCGGGUUGUAAAGUACUUUCAGCGGGGAGGAAGGUGUUGUGGUUAAUAACCRCAGCAAUUGACGUUACCCGCAGAAGAAGCACCGGCUAACUCCGUGCCAGCAGCCGCGGUAAUACGGAGGGUGCAAGCGUUAAUCGGAAUUACUGGGCGUAAAGCGCACGCAGGCGGUCUGUCAAGUCGGAUGUGAAAUCCCCGGGCUCAACCUGGGAACUGCAUUCGAAACUGGCAGGCUAGAGUCUUGUAGAGGGGGGUAGAAUUCCAGGUGUAGCGGUGAAAUGCGUAGAGAUCUGGAGGAAUACCGGUGGCGAAGGCGGCCCCCUGGACAAAGACUGACGCUCAGGUGCGAAAGCGUGGGGAGCAAACAGGAUUAGAUACCCUGGUAGUCCACGCCGUAAACGAUGUCGACUUGGAGGUUGUGCCCUUGAGGCGUGGCUUCCGGAGCUAACGCGUUAAGUCGACCGCCUGGGGAGUACGGCCGCAAGGUUAAAACUCAAAUGAAUUGACGGGGGCCCGCACAAGCGGUGGAGCAUGUGGUUUAAUUCGAUGCAACGCGAAGAACCUUACCUACUCUUGACAUCCAGAGAACUUUCCAGAGAUGGAUUGGUGCCUUCGGGAACUCUGAGACAGGUGCUGCAUGGCUGUCGUCAGCUCGUGUUGUGAAAUGUUGGGUUAAGUCCCGCAACGAGCGCAACCCUUAUCCUUUGUUGCCAGCGGUCCGGCCGGGAACUCCGUCGUAGUCCGGAUUGGAGUCUGCAACUCGACUCCAUGAAGUCGGAAUCGCUAGUAAUCGUAGAUCAGAAUGCUACGGUGAAUACGUUCCCGGGCCUUGUACACACCGCCCGUCACACCAUGGGAGUGGGUUGCAAAAGAAGUAGGUAGCUUAACCUUCGGGAGGGCGCUUACCACUUUGUGAUUCAUGACUGGGGUGAAGUCGUAACAAGGUAACCGUAGGGGAACCUGCGGUUGGAUCACCUCCUUA
rnacentral:rRNA from 1 species